GACGAACGCUGGCGGCGUGCUUAACACAUGCAAGUCGAACGGUAAGGCCCUUUCGGGGGUACAUGAUCGGCUAACGGGUGAGUAACACGCGAGUAACCUGCCUUCACUUCAGGGAUAACAGUCUGCAACGGUUUCUAAUACUGGCCAUGUGCUAGCUCGGCAUCUUUUGGGUUGGAAAGAUUUUUUUUGGUUGGGGAUAGGCACGCGGGCGUUCUGCGUGUUGGGGUGGUGGUGGCUCAUCCAGGGUCCGACGCGUAGCCGGCCUGUGAGGGCGACCGGCCACAUAUGGGGAGAGAUACGGCCCAAACACCUACGGGGGGCAGCAGUGGGGAAUAUUGCGCAAUAGGGGGGAGUCUGAUGCAGCAACACCGCGCGCGGGAUAACAGCCUUCGGGUUGUAAACCGCUUUCGAUUGUGAGAAGGCGUUUUUGUGACGGUAGCAGUAAAAGAAGCACCGGCUAACUACGUG
rnacentral:rRNA from 1 species